rnacentral:tRNA from 2 species
GGGCCGGUAGAUCAGACUGGAAGAUCGCCUGCUUGGCAUGCAGGAGGCCCCGAGUUCAAUAGGCUGUUGCUUCGGCACUUCCUGGACACAUCUCGGCCGGUCCACCA